rnacentral:tRNA from 1 species
GGGAAGUUAGCUCAGUGGUAGAGUGCUUGCCUUGCAUGUAUGAGGCCCUGGGUUC